UUUCAGGUUGUGGAGAGACAUGAGCUUGU
rnacentral:piRNA from 1 species